rnacentral:rRNA from 1 species
CCUUUAUGGAGAGUUUGAUCCUGGCUCAGGACGAACGCUGGCGGCGUGCCUAAUACAUGCAAGUCGAGCGGAUUUAGUUUGUAGCUUGCUACAAACUGAGUUAGCGGCGGACGGGUGAGUAACACGUAGGCAACCUGCCCUGAAGAC